rnacentral:lncRNA from 1 species
AUCAGGAAGUAUGAUGCCUACAGCUUUGUUCUUUUUUCUCAAGGUUGCUUUGGCUGGGUCUUUUGUGGUUCCAUAAAAUUUUUAGAAUGUUUUUCAUCUCUAUAAAAUUUCCAUUGGAGUUUUGAUUGCUAUGAAAAAGUGCCAUUGGAAUGGCUCCUUCCAGCUCUCUGGGGCUGCUUCCUUGCAACCACCUGCUCCCUUCCAUCCUCCCGAAGUUGUAACAAAGUAACCCCUGGGGAGACGGUGUUGCUGCCACCUGGUGGCCAGUUCUGCACACUGCAGGCUCCCCUGUCCUCGGGGACCCCAGGAGGCUGUACCUGUGACCCCGCAGAACCGCACGGGCUGGGUCGUUUUAGGGGCACU